rnacentral:rRNA from 1 species
UACGUAGGGUGCGAGCGUUAAUCGGAAUUACUGGGCGUAAAGCGUGCGCAGGCGGCUUUGCAAGACAGGCGUGAAAUCCCCGGGCUCAACCUGGGAAUUGCGCUUGUGACUGCAAAGCUGGAGUGCGGCAGAGGGGGAUGGAAUUCCGCGUGUAGCAGUGAAAUGCGUAGAUAUGCGGAGGAACACCAAUGGCGAAGGCAAUCCCCUGGGCCUGUACUGACGCUCAUGCACGAAAGCGUGGGGAGCAAACAGG